UACGGCCGCAUCACGUUGAAACAUCAGUUCCCAUACGAUCCCCGAAGUCAAGCAACGUCAAGCAUGGUGAGUACUUAGAUGGGCGACCUCUUGGAAAUACCAGGUGCU